CUUCUCUCAGCAGCACAUAGAGUAAAACAGGAAUGAAAAGAGAAGAUUAGCAUGAACCCUAUGUAAAGAUGACACCCAAACUGUGAAGCAUUUAUAUUUUUA